rnacentral:lncRNA from 1 species
AUGUUAAUAUUCUGUGUUCAUUGUAGAAUGAAGAUUACAGUAGUGAUUUUUUGCUUGGUUGGGGCGGUUUAUGCCAACCCAAUUCUGUACAAAGCUAUUUUGGAGCAGAGCGAACUGGAAUCAUCAAACAUGACUCAAACGCAAAGGUUAAGUUCAUCCGCCUCACAAUCUCCGCAUCAAAGUGACACUUCAGAGCUCAAGGUGGGUUGAAUGGAAUAAUAUUAAAAUGUCAACAGGUGUAGAAUGUAACACAUACAAUUGUAAGUGCAUUGGCGAAAAUCAGAAUAGCUCUUUAUCUAACACAUAUCCGUUACACUUUAUAAUUACUUGCACGAAUAAGACAUAAAUGUACUAUGCUUGUUAUUUGUAAUACAUAUAAAUGUUUAUAAUAACCCACAUCUCUUUUCUUAUAGAGCUCUGAAGAAAGUACCUCAGAGGACCAAGUAAGUUCAUCUUUUAAAAAAAAGGCUCAUUAUUUUCUGCUCAAAAGUAUUGACAUUACAAGCAAUGCCUAAAUAUAUCUGGGGGCGUAUUUACACAGCGUUUCAAAGCAGUAGUGCUGAUCUAGGAUCAGGUCCCCAUUGUCCAUGUAACCUUAUUCAUUAGGAUCUACAAGACAAAACUGAUCAUAGAUCAGCAUACUCUGAGACGCUUGAUACAUACGCUUGAUACAGACGCCCCUGUUCUCCUUUAUCAAGUGGCUCUAAUCUUUAAUGUUCAAUCUGUGUUAAAUUGCGUUUCAGAGUUCAGAGUCUGAGUCCGAAUCAUUGGAAUCCAAUUCAGAGGUGAGUGACAACAACAGUAUUCCUACUCCAGUAUUAUCCUUCCCAAAAAAUACUGUAUUAUUAACUGGGUGGUUCGAGCCCUGAAUGCUGAUUGGCUGACAGCCGUGGUAUAGCAGAGUAUGACAAAACAUAUAUUUUUACUGCUCUAAAUACGUUGGUAACAAGUUUAUAAUAGGAAUAAGACACCUCGGGGUUUAUAGUACAUGGCCAUUAUACCACGGCUAAGGGCUGUAUCUAGCCACUCCGAGUCGCAUCCUGCAUAAGAACACCCCUUAGCCGUGUUAUAUUGGUCAUAUACCACACCCCCCCGAGCCUUAUUGCUUAAGUAUACUAUGGUAUAAAUACUAUAUUAUUCACUGUAGUUUUUACUGUAGUAUACUGUAGUAUUCACAGUAAAAUAUAGUACAAACAGUGUAGUAAAAUAAAUUUGUAGUAUAUACUAUAGUAAUUAAUGUAGUGUUUUUGCAGACUGUAGUAUACUGUAGUAUUUACUGUUGUGUUUUUGCGGAUAUUAAUAUAGUAUUUACUAUAGUGUUUUAGUUUUAUUAUCUUUGACAUAGAAGUGGAGGCUUUCUCCUUCAGGAAACCUACUGGAGAAAUACUAAAAGAGCACAUUUUCCAUAACCUGUACGUAGGUAGGACUGGGGUCUGAACGGAUAGUUCAGAGCUUCUGCUCUUUUCUAUACCCUGUAGAGAACGCAAUAUAUGUUCUAUACUUGGCAUGUAGGUUUCUCACUUAUGCGUGGCAUAAAUUGCUAUAAGGUGAGGGGAAUAGGCAGAGUAAAUGCAAAUGAAAUACUGUAAUAUAAAAAGUGCAGUAUUUUGCACAUUGUGGUGUUUUUGCAGACAUUACUGUAGUAUUUACUACGGAGCUUUUUUUUGCAGAUAAUACUGUAGUAUUUACUAUAGUAUUCUACAGUAUACUGCAAUGUUGUAUAGUAAGUACUAGAAAUGAUUGAGGGACACUACAGUGUGUAGUAUAGUAUUCUACAGUAUCCUACAGUUUACUAUAGAAUUCUAUAGUAAGUAUUGUAGUAUUCUACAGUAAACUGUAGUAUUGUAUUUAAUGUGAGUUGUUCUGGUUGUGCAAAUACUAGGGCUGUUAGUCGAAUACAAAAGUAAAUACAUUGAAAAAUACCUCCUUGGUCCAUUUUGUUGUAAUCUGUUCCCCUUCACACAGUCUUCCGAGAGCCAUUCUUUAGAGAGUGAGAGCCAAUCACUGGAGGACAGGGUAAAGAUCCUCAGAUUUACAUCAUUUCACAGAUUGCAUAUCAAAACAAUAAAAUUAGAAAGAUGCAAUCA